rnacentral:rRNA from 1 species
GAUGAACGCUAGCGGCAGGCCUAACACAUGCAAGUCGAGGGGCAGCACAGAAACAGCAAUGCUUUGGUGGCGACCGGCGGACGGGUGCGUAACGCGCAUGCAACCUACCUUUAACAGGGGGAUAACGGAGAGAAAUUUCCACUAAUACCCCAUAACAUCGAUCAAGGCAUCUUGAUUGGUUGAAAACUCCGGUGGUUAAAGAUGGGCAUGCGUUGUAUUAGGUAGUUGGUGAGGUAAUGGCUCACCAAGCCUACGAUACAUAGGGGGACUGAGAGGUUAGCCCCCCACACUGGUACUGAGACACGGACCAGACUCCUACGGGAGGCAGCAGUGAGGAAUAUUGGUCAAUGGGGGCAACCCUGAACCAGCCAUGCCGCGUGCAGGAAGACGGCUCUAUGAGUUGUAAACUGCUUUUAAACAGGGAUAAAGCACAGUAUGUAUACUGUGUUGAAGGUACUGUAAGAAUAAGGAUCGGCUAACUCCGUGCCAGCAGCCGCCGUAA